GUCUUUUUGAAAUAAUUUAAAGUCUAAUCUGCCCACUGAUAAAAUUAAAGGGCUGCAGUAUAUUGACUGUACAAAGGUAGCAUAAUCAUUAGUUUUUUAAUUGGAAACUUGUAUGAAAGAUUUGAUGAAAUAUAAACUGUCUCUAAUUUAUAAAUUGAAAUUUAUUUUUUAGUAAAAAAGCUAAAAUAGAUUUAAAAGACGAGAAGACCCUAUAGAGUUUUAUAUUUAAUUUUAUUUGAAAAUUAUAUAAAAAUUAAUAUUUAAAUAGAAUUAAAUAUUAUAUUGGGGUGAUAGAAAAAUUAAAUUAACUUUUUUUAAAAAUUAAACAUAAAUAAAUGAUUAAAUGAUCCAUAAAUAAUGAUUAUAAGAAAAAAUUACCUUAGGGAUAACAGCGUAAUAUUUUUUUUUAGUUCAAAUAAGAAAAAAAGUUUGCGACCUCGAUGUUGGAUUAAGAUAAAAUUUAAAUGCAAAAGUUUAAAAUUUUGAUCUGUUCGAUCAUUAAAAUCUUACA
rnacentral:rRNA from 1 species